CCACCUUAAAUUUUCUCUGUCUUCCACCCCCUCCACUAACCCAGUGUUAACCCCCUCCAGAGUCCCCCUGUGUUAAAUGGGCUCUGUGGGAAAGGUGGAAAAGCUCACAGCAGAAGUACAAGCUGUGGGGUCCGAGGAUGCGGCGUCAGACCCCAGCUGUGUGGCUCAGAGCCCAGUGAGCUUGGGCAGGCCACAUGACUUCUGAGCUGCUUUCCUCAUCAGUAAGCUGGACGUAGGAGGACUGCCUGUCACCACGUUGUCAGGAGCACACAGUGAGAGCACUUUGCUAUCUAGGGAGCCACAUAUGAGAGCUAUCCUCCUCUAUGCUCACUAUGACCUCAUGGUCAAUCAUUAAUAAAGGCAACUGGAGAGAGAAGUUUAGAGCCUAAUAAAUGCUAAGAGCAACUGGCAAGUUCUUCUCUUUCUUUCUGCCCCUCCCAUCCUGGUCAUGCGUGGGAAGUGAGCACCUGCCCAGAGUGUUGUCAUCCUACCGUGGCUCCAGUCAUGGGAGGCCCCUCCCCACCAAGGCCCUCCUAAAAAUCUGGGUCUGAAGCAGACAGCUGUGAAGACACGGGGAAUGGUAGAGGAAAUGGCCAGGAGGCCACGUGAGCGAGGAAGGAGGCUCAGUAAACCGAUGGCAAAAACACUGAGCUGGGCAGGAGGGUCCUGAGUUCUGAACUUGGCUCCAUCAGAGAUCUCACGGUUGUGGCGAACCAAGGAUCUUCAAUGGACGGACAUGUCCGCAGCCCCUAACUUCCCAGAUUUUGCCAGUGAUCUGAAGGAUUUGUUGGGCUCGAGCAGGAGAGAGGACAUGGACCCAGGAAUGCUGCCUAUUUUCACCUAUUUGCCCCCAUUUUACCCUCCUUUCUCCCAAUUUGAAACUGGCAAAGUGUACCACUAUAAACAGUAUAAUUAAAGGGCCACCUAGA